rnacentral:rRNA from 1 species
GACGAACGCUGGCGGCGUGCUUAACACAUGCAAGUCGAACGGAAAGGCCCUGCUUGCAGGGUACUCGAGUGGCGAACGGGUGAGUAACACGUGGGUGAUCUGCCCUGCACUUCGGGAUAAGCCUGGGAAACUGGGUCUAAUACCGGAUAGGAGCCAUUUUUAGUGUGAUGGUUGGAAAGUUUUUUCGGUGUAGGAUGAGCUCGCGGCCUAUCAGCUUGUUGGUGGGGUAAUGGCCUACCAAGGCGGCGACGGGUAGCCGGCCUGAGAGGGUGGACGGCCACAUUGGGACUGGGAGACGGGCCGGACUCCUGCGGGAGGCAGCAGGGGGGAAUGUUGCACAAUGGGCGGAAGCCUGAUGCAGCGACGCCGCGGGGGGGAUGACGGCCUUCGGGUUGUAAACUCCUUUCGCUAGGGACGAAGCUUUUUGUGACGGUACCUAGAUAAGAAGCACCGGCUAACUACGUG